rnacentral:rRNA from 1 species
UGGCGGUAAUAGCGCGGUGGUCCCACCUGACUCCAUACCGAACUCAGAAGUGAAAUGCCGUAGCGCCGCAU